rnacentral:rRNA from 1 species
GACGAACGCUGGCGGCGUGCUUAACACAUGCAAGUCGAACGGAAAGGCCCUGCUUUUGUGGGGUGCUCGAGUGGCGAACGGGUGAGUAACACGUGAGUAACCUGCCCUUGACUUUGGGAUAACUUCAGGAAACUGGGGCUAAUACCGGAUAGGGGCUCCUGCUGCAUGGUGGGGGUUGGAAAGUUUCGGCGGUUGGGGAUGGACUCGCGGCUUAUCAGCUUGUUGGUGGGGUAGUGGCUUACCAAGGCUUUGACGGGUAGCCGGCCUGAGAGGGUGACCGGCCACAUUGGGACUGAGAUACGGCCCAGACUCCUACGGGGGGCAGCAGUGGGGAAUAUUGCACAAUGGGCGGAAGCCUGAUGCAGCAACGCCGCGUGCGGGAUGACGGCCUUCGGGUUGUAAACCGCUUUCGCCUGUGACGAAGCGUGAGUGACGGUAAUGGGUAAAGAAGCACCGGCUAACUACGUG